rnacentral:rRNA from 1 species
UACGGGGGGGGGUAAGCGUUGUUCGGAAUUACUGGGCGUAAAGGGCUCGUAGGCGGCCAACUAAGUCAUACGUGAAAUCCCUCAGCUUAACUGGGGAACUGCGUGUGAUACUGGAUGGCUUGGAUUUGGGAGAGGGAUGCGGAAUUCCAGGUGUAGCGGUGAAAUGCGUAGAUAUCUGGAGGAACACCCGUGGCGAAGGCGGUUCUCUGGGACGGUACUGACGCUGAGACGCGAAAGCGUGGGGAGCGAACAGG